rnacentral:tRNA from 1 species
GCGGGUGUAACUCAGUUGGUAGAGUGUCAGCUUCCCAUGCUGAAUGUCGUGGGUUCGAUUCCCAUCGCCCGCU